rnacentral:lncRNA from 1 species
UAGUCAAAACCUCGUCAAAUUGUCUAAGAUAUAGCUCAAAUCACAAGUACAAGUAAAUCGGGCUACUUACUACCCUUAGAUUUCAAGCACUGACUUCAACUGUCAAUAUCUCCUUCAUCGAAGCUUGGAAUUUGACAAAUAGUAGCCAUAAAUUGUAGCUCAAAAAGUGCUUUCUCCAACUCUAGUUGCCGAUCCUUGUUUUCUAUCUGAAUGCGUGCGCAAUGCCCCAAAGA